GUGGAGAUGUCUGCAAAGAUUCUGAUUUUCUGGUACUCUGUAGGUAGGUCUUUGCGUGCACGGCUUGCUUUGAGAACCACCUCCUUGGCAUGAUAAUAAUGCAUUUUCAGGACAAUGUCCCUUGGUGUGUCUGUGGGUAGAUAUUGGGGUUUUGCCACUAUGUGGAUAUGAUCCAUCAGCAAGACGUCUUGUGGUAAGUCAGGUACAAGAAGAC